AGUGAACGCUGGCGGCAGGCCUAACACAUGCAAGUCGAACGGCAGCACAGCAGUAGCAAUACUGUGGGUGGCGAGUGGCGGACGGGUGAGGAAUACAUGGGAAUCUGCCCUGUCGUGGGGGAUAACGUAGGGAAACUUACGCUAAUACCGCAUACGACCGGAAGGUGAAAGCGGCGGACCGCAAGGCGUCGCGCGACUGGAUGAGCCCAUGUCGGAUUAGCUAGUUGGCGGGGUAAAGGCCCACCAAGGCGACGAUCCGUAGCUGGUCUGAGAGGAUGAUCAGCCACACUGGAACUGAGACACGGUCCAGACUCCUACGGGAGGCAGCAGUGGGGAAUAUUGGACAAUGGGCGCAAGCCUGAUCCAGCCAUGCCGCGUGAGUGAAGAAGGCCUUCGGGUUGUAAAGCUCUUUUGUCCGGAAAGAAAAGCUGCCGGUUAAUACCCGGUGGUUAUGACGGUACCGGAAGAAUAAGCACCGGCUAACUUCGUGC
rnacentral:rRNA from 1 species